rnacentral:rRNA from 1 species
UACGUAGGGUGCGAGCGUUGUCCGGAAUUAUUGGGCGUAAAGAGCUUGUAGGCGGUCUGUCGCGUCUGCUGUGAAAUCCGGGGACGCUCAACCCCGGAUUGCAGUGGGUACGGGCAGACUAGAGUGUGGUAGGGGAGACUGGAAUUCCUGGUGUAGCGGUGAAAUGCGCAGAUAUCAGGAGGAACACCGGUGGGCGAAGGCGGUUCUCUGGGCAUGAUCUGACGCUGGAGGAGCGAAAAGCGUGGGGAGCGAACAGG